CUCUAGUGGCGCAAUUGGUUAGCGCGUUCGACUGUUAAUCGAAAGGAUGGUGGUUCGAGUCCACCCUAGAGCG
rnacentral:tRNA from 1 species